rnacentral:rRNA from 1 species
UACGUAGGGUGCGAGCGUUGUCCGGAAUUAUUGGGCGUAAAGAGCUCGUAGGCGGUUCGUCGCGUCGGCUGUGAAAACCUGAGGCUCAACCUCAGGCCUGCAGUCGAUACGGGCGGACUUGAGUACUGCAGGGGAGACUGGAAUUCCUGGUGUAGCGGUGAAAUGCGUAGAUAUCUGGAGGAACACCGGUGGCGAAGGCGGCAUCCUGGACCAAUUACUGACGCUGAGUGAGCGAAAGCCAGGGGAGCAAACGGG